rnacentral:rRNA from 1 species
UACGGAGGGUGCAAGCGUUAUCCGGAUUUACUGGGUUUAAAGGGUGCGUAGGUGGGUAGGUAAGUCAGUGGUGAAAUCUUCGAGCUUAACUCGGAAACUGCCGUUGAUACUAUUUAUCUUGAAUACUUUGGAGGUAAGCGGAAUAUGUCAUGUAGCGGUGAAAUGCUUAGAUAUGACAUAGAACACCAAUUGCGAAGGCAGCUUACUACACAGUCAUUGACACUGAGGCACGAAAGCGUGGGGAUCAAACAGG